rnacentral:rRNA from 1 species
UUUUCUCAAGGAAGAAGACCUGACGGUACUUGAGGAAUAAGCCACGGCUAAUUCCGUGCCAGCAGCCGCGGUAAUACGGGAGUGGCAAGCGUUAUCCGGAAUUAUUGGGCGUAAAGCGUCCGCAGGCGGCCCUGUAAGUCUGUCGUUAAAGCGUGGAGCUUAACUCCAUUUAAGCGAUGGAAACUACAGGGCUUGAGUGUGGUAGGGGCAGAGGGAAUUCCCGGUGUAGCGGUGAAAUGCGUAGAUAUCGGGAAGAACACCAGUGGCGAAGGCGCUCUGCUGGGCCAUAACUGACGCUCAUGGACGAAAGCCAGGGGAGCGAAAGGGAUUAGAUACCCCUGUAGUCCUGGCCGUAAACGAUGAACACUAGGUGUCGGGGGAAUCGACCCCCUCGGUGUCGUAGCCAACGCGUUAAGUGUUCCGCCUGGGGAGUACGCACGCAAGUGUGAAACUCAAAGGAAUUGACGGGGGCCCGCACAAGCGGUGGAGUAUGUGGUUUAAUUCGAUGCAACGCGAAGAACCUUACCAGGGUUUGACAUCCUGCGAACCCCCUGGAAACGGGGGGGUGCCUUAGGGAACGCAGUGACAGGUGGUGCAUGGCUGUCGUCAGCUCGUGUCGUGAGAUGUUGGGUUAAGUCCCGCAACGAGCGCAACCCACGUCGUUAGUUGCCAGCAUUCAGUUGGGCACUCUAGCGAGACCGCCGGUGAUAAACCGGAGGAAGGUGUGGAUGACGUCAAGUCAUCAUGCCCCUUACAUCCUGGGCUACACACGUACUACAAUGCUACGGACAAAGGGCCGCAAGCUCGCGAGAGUUAGCAAAUCCCAUAAACCGUGGCUCAGUUCAGAUCGUAGGCUGCAACUCGCCUACGUGAAGGAGGAAUCGCUAGUAAUCGCAGGUCAGCAUACUGCGGUGAAUACGUUCCCGGGCCUUGUACACACCGCCCGUCACACCAUGGA